rnacentral:rRNA from 1 species
AACAUUCUGGAAAGUAUAACCAUAGAGGGUGAUAGUCCCGUAUGCGAAAAACAAACCUUAGCUAGCAGUAUCCUGAGUAGGGCGGGACACGAGGAAUCCUGUCUGAAUCCGGGUCGACCACGAUCCAACCCUAAAUACUAAUACCAGAUCGAUAGUGCACAAGUACCGUGAGGGAAAGGUGAAAAGAACUGAGGUGAUCAGAGUGAAAUAGAACCUGAAACCAUUUGCUUACAAUCAUUCAGAGCCCUAUGUAGCAAUACAGGGUGAUGGACUGCCUUUUGCAUAAUGAGCCUGCGAGUUGUGGUGUCUGGCAAGGUUAAGCAAACGCGAAGCCGUAGCGAAAGCGAGUCUGAAUAGGGCGCUUAGUCAGAUGCUGCAGACCCGAAACGAAGUGAUCUAUCCAUGAGCAAGUUGAAGCUAGUGUAAGAACUAGUGGAGGACUGAACCCAUAGGCGUUGAAAAGCCCCGGGAUGACUUGUGGAUAGGGGUGAAAGGCCAAUCAAACUUCGUGAUAGCUGGUUCUCUCCGAAAUAUAUUUAGGUAUAGCGUUGUGUCGUAAUAUAAGGGGGUAGAGCACUGAAUGGGCUAGGGCAUACACCAAUGUACCAAACCCUAUCAAACUCCGAAUACCUUAUAUGUAAUCACAGCAGUCAGGCGGCGAGUGAUAAAAUCCGUCGUCAAGAGGGAAACAACCCAG